rnacentral:rRNA from 3 species
UCUCCGUAGGUGAACCUGCGGAAGGAUCAUUG